rnacentral:rRNA from 1 species
GAUGAACGCUGGCGGCGUGCCUAAUACAUGCAAGUCGAGCGAACAGACGAGGAGCUUGCUCCUUUGACGUUAGCGGCGGACGGGUGAGUAACACGUGGAUAACCUACCUAUAAGACUGGGAUAACUUCGGGAAACCGGAGCUAAUACCGGAUAACAUGUUGAACCGCAUGGUUCAACAGUGAAAGACGGUCUUGCUGUCACUUAUAGAUGGAUCCGCGCCGCAUUAGCUAGUUGGUAAGGUAACGGCUUACCAAGGCAACGAUGCGUAGCCGACCUGAGAGGGUGAUCGGCCACACUGGAACUGAGACACGGUCCAGACUCCUACGGGAGGCAGCAGUAGGGAAUCUUCCGCAAUGGGCGAAAGCCUGACGGAGCAACGCCGCGUGAGUGAAGAAGGUCUUCGGAUCGUAAAACUCUGUUAUUAGGGAAGAACAAAUGUGUAAGUAACUAUGCACGUCUUGACGGUACCUAAUCAGAAAGCCACGGCUAACUACGUGCCAGCAGCCGCGGUAAUACGUAGGUGGCAAGCGUUAUCCGGAAUUAUUGGGCGUAAAGCGCGCGUAGGCGGUUUUUUAAGUCUGAUGUGAAAGCCCACGGCUCAACCGUGGAGGGUCAUUGGAAACUGGAAAACUUGAGUGCAGAAGAGGAAAGUGGAAUUCCAUGUGUAGCGGUGAAAUGCGCAGAGAUAUGGAGGAACACCAGUGGCGAAGGCGACUUUCUGGUCUGUAACUGACGCUGAUGUGCGAAAGCGUGGGGAUCAAACAGG